ACCUGGCCCAGCUACCCUUCCUGACCAUGUGCAUUAAGGAGAGUCUGCGCCUGCAUCCCGCAGUCCCAGUGAUCUCCCGCCGCUGCACCCAGGACAUUGUGCUCCCAGAUGGCCGUGUCAUCCCCAAAGGUGUCAUCUGUGUCAUCAGUAUUUUCGGGACCCAUCACAACCCAGCUGUGUGGCCGGACCCUGAGGUGUAUGACCCCUCCCGCUUCGACCCAGAAAAUGUCAAGGAGAGGUCACCUCUGGCUUU